GCUGAAACAGCGGUUCUCGUACGAUCACCAAAGUUAAGCAACGUCAGUACUUAGAUGGGUGACCGCUUGGGAAUACCAGGUGCU